GGAUGAACGCUGGCGGCGUGCUUAACACAUGCAAGUCGAACGAUGAUGCCCAGCUUGCUGGGUGGAUUAGUGGCGAACGGGUGAGUAACACGUGAGCAACCUGCCCUUGACUCUGGGAUAAGCCUGGGAAACUGGGUCUAAUACCGGAUAGUACUCCUCAUCGCAUGGUGGGGGGUGGAAAGCCUUGUGCGGUCUUGGAUGGGCUCGCGGCCUAUCAGCUUGUUGGUGGGGUGAUGGCCUACCAAGGCGACGACGGGUAGCCGGCCUGAGAGGGUGACCGGCCACACUGGGACUGAGACACGGCCCAGACUCCUACGGGAGGCAGCAGUGGGGAAUAUUGCACAAUGGGCGGAAGCCUGAUGCAGCGACGCCGCGUGGGGGAUGACGGCCUUCGGGUUGUAAACCCCUUUCGGCAGGGAACAAGCCGCUUCGGUGGUGAGGGUACCUGCGGAAGAAGCGCCGGCUAACUACGU
rnacentral:rRNA from 1 species